CUCGCCAUAGUUCAAUGGAUAGAACAAGCCCCUCCUAAGGGUUAGAUGCAGGUUCGAUUCCUGCUGGCGGGACCA
rnacentral:tRNA from 1 species